rnacentral:rRNA from 1 species
UACAGAGGGGGCAAGCGUUGUCCGGAAUCAUUGGGCGUAAAGCGCACGUAGGCGGCCCGGUAAGUCCGUUGUGAAAGUCAGAGGCUCAACCUCUGGAGGCCAAUGGAUACUGCCGGGCUAGAGUCCGGAAGAGGCGAGUGGAAUUCCUGGUGUAGCGGUGGAAUGCGCAGAUAUCAGGAGGAACACCAAUGGCGAAGGCAGCUCGCUGGGACGGUACUGACGCUGAGGUGCGAAAGCGUGGGGAGCAAACAGG